rfam:Hordeum vulgare subsp. vulgare, WGS project CAJW01000000 data, contig: morex_contig_1510587
GAGAGCACAGUACGAUGAAAGUUGUAAGCUGUGUUCGGGGGGGAGUUAUUGUCUAUCGUUGGCCUCUAUGGUAGAACCCGUCGGGGAGGCCUGAGAG